rnacentral:sRNA from 1 species
UCCUAGUGACGGGCAGACUCCCGCUAGU